UACGAAGGGGGCUAGCGUUGCUCGGAAUCACUGGGCGUAACGGGUGCGUAGGCGGGUCUUUAAGUCAGGGGUGAAAUCCUGGAGCUCAACUCCAGAACUGCCUUUGAUACUGAGGAUCUUGAGUUCGGGAGAGGUGAGUGGAACUGCGAGUGUAGAGGUGAAAUUCGUAGAUAUUCGCAAGAACACCAGUGGCGAAGGCGGCUCACUGGCCCGAUACUGACGCUGAGGCACGAAAGCGUGGGGAGCAAACAGG
rnacentral:rRNA from 1 species